UACAGGGGGGGCAAGCGUUGUUCGGAAUUACUGGGCGUAAAGGGCUCGUAGGCGGCCAACUAAGUCAGACGUGAAAUCCCUCGGCUUAACCGGGGAACUGCGUCUGAUACUGGAUGGCUUGAGUUUGGGAGAGGGAUGCGGAAUUCCAGGUGUAGCGGUGAAAUGCGUAGAUAUCUGGAGGAACACCGGUGGCGAAGGCGGCAUCCUGGACCAACACUGACGCUGAGGAGCGAAAGCCAGGGGAGCAAACGGG
rnacentral:rRNA from 1 species